CCCUUAGAUGUCCGGGGCCGCACGCGCGCUACACUGAAGGAAUCAGCGUGGCUUUCUCCCUGACCCGAAAGGGUUGGGAAACCCGUUGAAUCUCCUUCGUGAUAGGGAUUGGGGCUUGAAAUUGUUCCCCAUGAACGAGGAAUUCCCAGUAAGCGCGAGUCAUAAGCUCGCGUUGAUUACGUCCCUGCCCUUUGUACACACCGCCCUGCGCUACUACCGAUUGAACGGUUUAGUGAGGGCCUCGGAUUGGUCUCGGCCCGCUCUUUACCGGGCGGCGCCGUUGGUCGAGAAGACGCUCGAACUUGAUCGUUUAGAGGAAGUAAAAGUCGUAACA
rnacentral:rRNA from 1 species